GCCUGCAGAGACGAAACGCCCUUGAUCAAAUGGCGGAAGGGCGAUCUGAUCGGUUCCGGAGCCUUUGGCCGUGUUUACAUGGGCAUGAAUACUCAAUCCGGAGAGCUUAUUGCUGUUAAAGAGGCUCCUAACAAGGUGCUUCAAGAAGAAGUGAGGGUUUUGGAGAACCUGUCUCAUCCAAAAAUUGUUAGAUGUUUGGGAACCGAGAGGGAGGAUAAACCUUGACUAUGCUGUUGGAAUAUGUACCUGGUGGAUCCAUACAAACACUACUGGAGAUUUUUGGAUCAUUUCCUGUUCCU